AUCAAGCGGCAACUUUUAAGAGAAAAGUUCCGAAUCCAAACAAACUCAAAGUCCAAUGAAGAAUAUAGGUUUCGAUUUCCAAUACCGAUCAAGUGCCGAACUAGCCAAAAAAUUUCAGAUUAAGAGAGAAAAGCUUACAAGUGAUUGCAACGAUAAAGCUGCUAAAGAGCAGGCAUUACUUGGAGUUAAAAGGAAGAAUUAUAUGCCUGCAACAUUAGAAGGACAAAGUAGAUAGAGGUUAACUCAAUCGGAUGUGUCAGUUCAAAAGUUAGGAAGGAAUAGAUUACCGGUGUACAAAUCAAUCCAAUCGUCUUCAAGGGAAGAUCUGAACACUUCACAUAAUAUUGCAAGUAAAGGACAAAUUAAACAAAGGUCAAUGCAAUUGGAGGAGCCCAUUCAAAAGCAAGGAAUGAGUAAAUUACCUUGUGCCCACAUCCAUGAUCCAAUCAUCUGCAAAGGUAGAUCCUAACACUUUACAUGUGAUUAGAAGAACACAAGGUGAAGGAGAGAAACAAUUUAAUAUUCAAGAGCUACAAAAUUGCAAAAAGGUAAAGACAAACUCAGUCCUACCGUCAACGAGUGUUAAUAAGUUUCUAAAAAAAUAUGGGAUACAAGUCGCUGGUGAAAAACAUCCUGAUAAUCACCCAGAAAAUGAAGUCAGAUUUAUGUCCUCUCCUAUUAUUGAUGAGCAUGAAAUAGAAUUGGAUAAUUUUGCUGCACAAGAUGAAGUUGGUGACGAUGAAUUUAUUGGAGAUGAGGAUAUGAACAUCGAUAGUGCUGCAGGUGGGACAUCAGAGAAGAAAAGAGUUAGAGGAAAAACAACAUGCAAGAAUAUUCGUGCAAGAAGUUUUGAAGAAAUAGAGGAGGUGACAUUUGGUAAAGUGUUGGACCAACUGACAAGAGAGUGUCUGAUUUGACCAACUUUUUAGGAACAAUUGCAAGGAAUCCAAGAUUUAUCCCCUUGGUGCAUACUAGUUGGCAUGUUGUGUCAAAGGAUAUUAAGCAACGAAUGUGGGAAUAUGUCAAUUCCAAGUUCUUAAUUCCAGUUGAAGGAGAGAAGUGGGUAAUGACUGAUCUUCGUGAUGCUUGGAAGCGACACAAGAGGAAUAUUAAGAAGAAAUAUUUUGAUAAAAAUGUUACUAUUGAACAAAUGCUACAAAAUCGUCCCAAAUGAGAUACUUGAAGUUCAGUUCCGUCAAUUGAUUGAGUAUUGGGAUGACGAAGAUGUCGAAGAAAAAAUAAAAGUGGAGGCAUCGAAUGGGACCUAUUAAUUUUGCAAGAGUGCGUGUGGCAUUGCGCGCAACCAAAGAGAACAACGAGGAACCAUCAAAGUCUGAAAUGUUUAUUACAACUCGUACAAAGAAAGGGAAGGAAGUUCAUACAGAUACUCAA